GCAAUAGGUACACGUUUUUCCUUGGAACUUUCUUGUCGAGAUGAUGGACUCUGAUCUGUAAUUUUCAGGGACCCCAGAUCAACUUGAACAGGAUCAGAAGAUUGAGGAGGAGAACGAUCCACAACCUGCUGCUGAUUUCCACCACCAUGCUGCUGACUCCUCUGCGGCGGUGGCCGGGCCCAAGCAUUAGCAACUCCACUACCACUACCCUGUUGCUGCGGUGGUGGUCGGGGCCAAGUAGUGUUUGGAACGCCACUACCCUGCUGUUGUGGCCGUGGCCAAGCG
rnacentral:misc_RNA from 1 species